ACUUUGGUGUGAGACCAGGCGGUGGAAAAGGCCAAAAGAGAUUUGGGAAGAAAGAGUUUGCCCGUUUUGCAUCAGCGAGAGUGUGGAAACUGAAAAACAUUUUAUCUUAGAGUGUGAAGCACUUAAAGUCAGCUAGGAGAAGUUUGCCAAUUUCCUAACUGCCAGCACAUGGUAUAACUUGUUCAGCGAGAAGCAUAUCGUGAAGAUGAGUGCUCUCAUCAUGAGCCUGAAUAAGCAGAGAUGAGACCUUAAAAAACUGAUUCAGCUUGAUCAGAUUGUCCCAUAAGCUAUUCUUAGCCUCGUGGACGUUAAAAUUCUUUCUUCUUCUUCUACCAUUAUCCAGGCCUACUUCUACAGGGGACAGUAACACUACUAGAUAAUGCUCGGUAGUCCUGCAACUGACCAAAGCAAAAUUUCUGUUUGAGCAGACGACUGAGACGGGGAAUUACUACAGCUCUGCAAGUCGAUAUAUGCCUUGUCCGCAAAAUUGAAAACCGGAGCCAUGGCCGCUUCAUUGACAAGGAUUAGUUUUAGACUUCACUCCCCUGUUAUACCACCGCAGCGUCUUCCCUUCUUGUCCAAUCCCUCUCCUCUUCUUCACCUGCACAACCAAAGAAGAAAAUCUAUUUGGUGGAGUGGGCGUCCGUAUCCCUUACAUGUCACUCAGGCGAUUAAGCUUGUUGAAAGCUAUGAUGGAUCUUUUCAACUGGAGCCACAAUCUGAGGAGGCGUUGCGAGUGCUGCUAUCAUCUGAGCUCUUCUGCAAUCAGGCAUCCCAACAAUCAGAAUGCGAGGGUUCGUCGUUUGAAUUCACCGGUGAGCUCUUUAAACCAGUGCCAUGGAGUGCCACCACAAAGCAUGGCAUGCCUCAGGAAUUUGAGAAAUAUUUGGAUCGUGAUAAAUAUGCAAUUAUAAAUGUGCCCCCAAAUUUCAUGUUUAAAGCCAAGAUUGGGCCACACCAUAUAAAAUGAUCAUAAGCUAAAGCUGCUGUAUUUGUUAAGAAGGCAGCGAUCCACUUUGUGUGGAUAUAAUAUUAUGUUUGAAGAUUAAAAAAGGCCUGACCGUACCUUAAACAAAAGAAAGAAGCAACGAUUCAUGGUUUGAGGCUGCCACUCCAAAUUUAUAAAGAUUUCUACCUUUCUUUGGGCUGUUGUACACAUAGACUCAACCGCUACUUUUGGAAGAUAUUUUCGCCUUCCAGGUUAUGUGCAGUAUUUAGAAGGGUUUCAAAUUUAUCUACCGGAGACUCCUAAUCAAUCUUUCCAGGGAGUUGACUUCGGUGACGUAAAAUCUUUUGGCAACUGCUUUCAGUGACUAGUUGAUUUGAAUGAUUUCUAGAAAAACAAGCACUUAAAUGGCAAAGGAAAAGUCGUCAUAUCUUCUAAACACUUUUUAUGACAAAAGGAAAAUCCUCCCAUUGUUUAAGGUAAAACAGGUUGCUGGCAUCAAUAACUCAGAGGCUUCAGAAUUUGUUUGGUGACUAGAGUUUUUAACAUAACCUUAUAGAAUGCCAUUGCAUUCAUAUGACUCGCCAGUAACUGGAAAAUAAUCUGUCAAACUUUGAUACUGCUCUUAAGUAAAAUAUGUGUUUAAAAUAAUGAAAGCUUGUAAUUGCAGCAAUAAUUUCUCUCAA